GACGUUGGACAACAAAGAUGGCGGCGGGGACCAGCAAUUACUGGGAAGAUCUCAGGAAACAGGCUCGACAGCUGGAAAAUGAACUUGACCUGAAACUAGUUUCCUUCAGCAAACUAUGUACAAGUUACAGUCAUAGCAGUACCCGAGAUGGAAGACGCGACAGUUCUGAUACAACACCCCUUUUAAAUGGAUCAAGCCAAGACAGAAUGUUUGAGACAAUGGCGAUUGAGAUUGAACAACUUUUGGCAAGGCUUACAGGGGUAAAUGAUAAAAUGGCAGAAUAUACCAACAGUGCAGGUGUCCCCUCCUUGAAUGCAGCCCUGAUGCAUACAUUACAGCGGCAUAGAGACAUAUUGCAGGAUUAUACACAUGAAUUCCAUAAAACCAAAGCAAACUUUAUGUCAAUACGGGAAAGGGAGAAUCUCAUGGGAUCAGUACGAAAAGAUAUUGAGUAAGUUACCUUUUAUAUUAUUUUGUAGAAUAUUUAUUCAGAUUUGGCUUUAGGAUAUGUUCACGGUUAAUUGCAAAUUGAGUGGCAGAACCAUGGUUGAGAUUUCAGGGUUUCCAAUUCCCAUUUCACUGUC
rnacentral:sRNA from 1 species